CCGAGUUUACAACUCCCAAACCCCUGUGAACAUACCUAUACGUUGCCUCGGCGCAGCUACCCGGCCUCGCGCCCCGUAAAGGACGGCCCGCCCGGCGGACACCAAAACUCUGUUAUCUUAGUGGAUUAAUCUGAGUGUAACUAAUUAAUAAAGUCA
rnacentral:misc_RNA from 1 species